UACGUAGGGGGCUAGCGUUGUCCGGAAUUAUUGGGCGUAAAGAGCUCGUAGGCGGUCUGUCGCGUCUGCUGUGAAAACUCAGGGCUUAACCCUGAGCUUGCAGUGGGUACGGGCAGACUAGAGUGCGGUAGGGGAGACUGGAAUUCCUGGUGUAGCGGUGAAAUGCGCAGAUAUCAGGAGGAACACCGGUGGCGAAGGCGGGUCUCUGGGCCGUAACUGACGCUGAGGAGCGAAAGCAUGGGGAGCGAACAGG
rnacentral:rRNA from 1 species